GCUAUACAUAUUCCGAGAAACGUUACCUGCUGAGGUAGAUUGAUCAGCGAGCUUGAUACCCCGUUCAAAAUCGUGAUCAGUAUACUUCGUCAGGCAGCUUGUUUUCUUUUUGUGUUCGGAA
rnacentral:precursor_RNA from 15 species